rnacentral:rRNA from 1 species
UACGAAGGGGGCUAGCGUUGUUCGGAAUUACUGGGCGUAAAGCGUGCGCAGGCGGCUUCUCAAGUCAGGGGUGAAAGCCCAGAGCUCAACUCUGGAAUUGCCUUUGAGACUGAGUGGCUUGAGUACGAGAGAGGUGAGUGGAAUUCCCAGUGUAGAGGUGAAAUUCGUAGAUAUUGGGAAGAACACCGGUGGGCGAAGGCGGCGACCUGGUCCGA